AAUCCUCAAAAGAAAAGCUUAACUGCUUUCUCUUUUGGAAUUGGAGCGUGCUGGCCUUCUGUUCAGGAAGCCCAGCUCCUCUGAAAUACAUUAGCGAUGUGACAUCCGCAUGGCACCACGCUUCUCCGGCAUUGAUAGUAUCUUUCAUGCCUGAGCGUGUUUGUGCAGCUGUGGAAAGUUUCGCUCGCUCAUAGCUUGAUGGGUCAGUCCAUCCUUUGACCA
rnacentral:misc_RNA from 1 species